UACAGAGGUCCCAAGCGUUGUUCGGAUUCAUUGGGCGUAAAGGGUGCGUAGGCGGCGCGGUAAGUCGGGUGUGAAAUCUCGGAGCUUAACUCCGAAACUGCAUUUGAUACUGCCGUGCUUGAGGACUGGAGAGGAGACUGGAAUUUACGGUGUAGCGGUGAAAUGCGUAGAUAUCGUAAGGAAGACCAGUGGCGAAGGCGAAUCUCUGGACAGUUACUGACACUGAGGCACGAAGGCCAGGGGAGCAAACGGG
rnacentral:rRNA from 1 species